rnacentral:rRNA from 1 species
ACGCUCGACACCUACGGGGCAGCAGUGGGGAAUAUUGCACAAUGGGGGAAACCCUGAUGCAGCGACGCCGCGUGAGCGAAGAAGUAUUUCGGUAUGUAAAGCUCUAUCAGCAGGGAAGAUAAUGACGGUACCUGACUAAGAAGCUCCGGCUAAAUACGUGCCAACAGCCGCGGUAAUCUGAGCGGGCUGGCAAGGC